rnacentral:rRNA from 1 species
GUUGGCCUCGGAUCACGUGGGGAUACCCGCUGAACUUAAGCAUAUCAAUAAGCGGAGGAAAAGAAACCAACAGGGAUUGCCUCAGUAACGGCGAGUGAAGCGGCAACAGCUCAAAUUUGAAAUCUGGCACCCGCCCGAGUUGUAAUUUGUAGAGGAUGCUUCGGGUGAAGCCGCGGUCCAAGUCCCUUGGAACAGGACGUCAGAGAGGGUGAGAACCCCGUACCUGGCCGCCGGUGCCCCCCGCUGUGAAGCUCCUUCGACGAGUCGAGUUGUUUGGGAAUGCAGCUCUAAAUUGGUGGUAAAUUCCAUCUAAAGCUAAAUACCGGCCAGAGACCGAUAGCGCACAAGUAGAGUGAUCGAAAGAUGAAAAGCACUUUGAAAAGAGAGUUAAAAAGUACGUGAAAUUGUUGAAAGGGAAGCGCUUGCGGCCAGACUUGCCCGCGGUUGCUCAGCCCGCCUUUUGGCGGGUGCACUCUUCCGCGGUCAGGCCAGCAUCGGUUCGGGCGGCCGGAGAAAGGCGUCGGGAACGUGGCCUCCCCUCGGGGAGGUGUUAUAGCCCGGCGCGCAAUGCGGCCAGCCCGGACCGAGGUUCGCGCUCUGCUAGGAUGCUGGCGUAAUGGCCGUAAGCGGCCCGUCUUGAAACACGGACCAAGGAGUCUAACAUCUAUGCGAGUGUUUGGGUGUCAAACCCGUGCGCGUAAUGAAAGUGAACGUGGGUGGGAACCGAAAGGUGCACCAUCGACCGAUCCCGAUGUAUUCGGAAGGAUUUGAGUAAGAGCAUAGCUGUUGGGACCCGAAAGAUGGUGAACUAUGCGUGAAUAGGGUGAAGCCAGAGGAAACUCUGGUGGAGGCUCGCAGCGGUUCUGACGUGCAAAUCGAUCGUCAAAUUUGCGUAUAGGGGCGAAAGACUAAUCGAACCAUUUAGUAGCUGGUUCCUGC